rnacentral:rRNA from 1 species
GACGAACGCUGGCGGCGUGCUUAACACAUGCGAGUCGAACGGAAAGGCCCUGCUUUUGUGGGGUGCUCGAGUGGCGAACGGGUGAGUAACACGUGAGUAACCUGCCCUUGACUUUGGGAUAACUUCGGGAAACUGGGGCUAAUACCGGAUAGGAGCUCCUGCUGCAUGGUGGGGGUUGGAAAGUUUCGGCGGUUGGGGAUGGACUCGCGGCUUAUCAGCUUGUUGGUGGGGUAGUGGCUUACCAAGGCUUUGACGGGUAGCCGGCCUGAGAGGGUGACCGGCCACAUUGGGACUGAGAUACGGCCCAGACUGCUACGGGAGGCAGCAGUGGGGAAUAUUGCACAAUGGGCGGAAGCCUGAUGCAGCAACGCCGCGUGCGGGAUGACGGCCUUCGGGUUGUAAACCGCUUUCGCCUGUGACGAAGCGUGAGUGACGGUAAUGGGUAAAGAAGCACCGGCUAACUACGUG